AAAAAAUAUUUCAAUAAAUAUAUCAAAACAACAGUAGUUACUGGAGAUCACCAGCACAGGAUCUUUCCAUCAGGGUUUAUAUUUACGUUGUAUUUGAGUGUAUUUCAUAUUGACUGAGAUGCUGCUCAGAGGAAGUGAUGAUUGCGUUGAUUACGACGGUUUAGUUUGAACUUUGAAAUCAAGCGUGACAUUUAAAUUUGGCCUUUCAGAGAGACGAAAUCAUGGAUUCUUUGUCAAUCACUCAGCAGGAGACACAGACACUCGAUGUGUAUCCGUGUCCUAUAAAACAUCCCUCUUAUUCCCACCCGACGAGUCUUUGUGUCCCUGUAUUUAAGAAAAGUUAUUUUCAACUGCUUUAAAAGCAAAUAUAUAUUCAAUCAUCUGAUUUUUUGCAAACAUACUUACUUGCCCACAGAAGGAGGUCUGGAUGUUAAAACGGUGCUUUCUGUUCCACUAAGACGUUCACGUCCUCCUCAGGAUGAACUGUGUUUGCUAUUUUCUUUUCUCACCAUCAUCUUCAGUUGGUGACAAAACGUUCACACGACUUCAUCCCCACCUUCCACGAGCUCACGUGUUGUGCAGCGUGUGAAAACCGCAGCGACUCCGAGACCCUCGAGUUGUUGUUCAGCGUUACAACAAUCUGACAACGCUGAGAGACGUUCAGCUCCGGUUCCUGUGAGCGGCCUUCGGGUCGCCAAAGGUUCACCACAGCAACGCGGGUUUAUCCAAACGUGGCACCCAAACCUCCAUUAAAUCUACUUUAUCUGCCCGUGCACAUCGAGAGAGUCAGCCAGGAAUCGGGAGGAGACACUAGAAGCCCACCUUAAUGCCCCCCCCCCCCCGUAUGGGAGAGGGAACAUUGGGCCAAGAGGAGCUUCCAGGAAGCCGCUCGUGUGUCGUCAUCCCCGGAGGGAUCACCGCUUUCCGGCGUGAAAGCAGGCAGCCGUGCAGAAUCGUGCUCCCCGCGGGCUGCGCCCCAUAACCGGAUCAUCCUCCAUCCGCAGCGCUAAUCAGGUGCUGAUGGUGCUCGGACGCACAGCAGGGAUUCUUCUUCUUCUUCUUCUUCUUCUUCUCCACCCUUCCUGCGUUGGCUAUUUGCCUUCUUACUUCAAACCGACCAAUGGUUUAGUUUUUGUAAAGAAUGUGUGCAAAAAUAAAUUUGAAUACAUUUAAAAAAUGUAUUUCUUUAUUUUUUGAAGGCGCAUAAGAAAUUGGGAGCUGGCAGCAUCUAAGCUAACGGCGCGAUCGGCGCAAAAAGAGCUAACGGCAUGCUAUGCCUAGCCCAGGUAGUGUUUACCCGCGCUUCAAAGAUUUACAUCUUUGCAUGAAAAGGUUUUUCUCGGUUUGCUUUUCUCUCACUGUGAACUCUUUAUGAUUUAACUGAUUUAAUAGUUGUUCAGUUUGUGAAACCCGUGUUCUGCGAAAUGCUCACAACCUCCCGACUGCCUCACAUUCCACUGUGACACACACACACACACACACACACACACACUCACUCACGGCCAGUUGUGACACGGCCAGUGACGCACAGAGUGACGAAGAUGAGGAAGGCACCCGGAAGGCGGAGUAGAGAUGGAGGCAUAUUUCUAAGGAGAUCAGUCGCAGGUAGCAGCGACAGACCGACACACUUUCUAUACACAGACACAAACAUACCUGCUACAUGUGUGUCGAUGGAAGGAAGAUGUCUUUGUGCUUUUCUUCCUCCAUCACUCUUUCCUUGUUCUAUGUCGUACACGACUAAAUUAGUUCUUCCAGGGAACAUAUUUGGUGUUUGUUUAUGUGUAAGACACAAAAUCCGCAUUUGUUUCCGUCCUCCUUUUCUCUGACGUCUCAAUGACACACGAACCUCAUCUUUUCUAUAUUCUAAUCGUUUAUUUUCUCUCGUUUUGUUCUCUGGCUUCCUGCUUCCAGAGUCAUAAAAGAGCUUCUGACUGUUUUAAUGUAAAAAAAAAUGAGCAGUUAUUGUAUUUUGCCUUAAACCAUUAAGGUUAUUAUUAGCAUGAUGGAAACUUGCACUUCAGGUGCAUCUUUUAAUUGCCAGUAAUUACUACGCCCACACACCCCGUCAUGGUGACACACACACACACACACACACACAGCCUUUAGAGACGCUCACGACACACAACUGGUACUUUUGAAUGGGAGGGGGAAGCGUCCUCUGCGUUAAGCCAGCUCACAGGAAAUGAUGAGACACUCACUUUCAAAUGUGUUAAAAUACAAACAUCCGCUUGAUUGCAACCUUUUACGAUUGCGAACAAAUUAGACAAUUGCUGCACGGCGUCUUCCUGGUGAAACGUGGUGAUGCUGCCGCCUCGUUGCAGCCAAUCACGGACAAAUGGCACCGUGGCUGAUAAUCCUAAACGAUUUUCUUGCUGCUUAUUUGGGGAGUCAUUGUCUGAAGAGUCAGAGACACACAAAGCACCACACAACACUCGUCGUGUUUACAUUAAUGUCAGGAGAUAUUGUAUGUGAUUGGACACACUUAGGGCCAAUAGAAAUAUUUUCUUCUAUAUCUAACGACAGGUACAAAACGUAAUGUUUUUCCUGAUGUUAGUCAGUUGUUCUUUCCGGCCGUCGUGUAUUUCUGUUUCAGUCAUUUUCCUCCAACAGCGGAGAGAAAUGUCGCACAUCAACCGUCUGCUCGGCCAUUUGGGAGAGAAAAGCCUACAAAGAAAUCUUUAAAAAGCCUACAUGAUUUCACACGUGCUUCCUUGUCGAGGUCCCAUGUGGUCCCUGAUUGGCUGCUGAAACCAUGUGGUUCCUAAUUGGCUGGUGGACCCAUGUGGUUCCUAAUUGGCUGCUGGACCCAUGUGAUCCCUGAUUGGCUGCUGGACCCAAGUCGUCCCUGAUUGGGUGCUAAACCUAUGUGGUCCCUGAUUGGCUGCUGGACCAUGUGGUCCCUGAUUGGCUGAUGAAACCAUGUGGUUCCUAAUUGGCUGCUGGACCCAUGUGAUCCCUGAUUGGCUGCUGGACCCAAGUCGUCCCUGAUUGGGUGCUAAACCCAUGUG
ensembl:lncRNA